AGGAAGCAGUGGAAAAGAGAGGAAGUAGUUGAAGAGAGAGGAAGCGAGCAGCAAGGCAGGAGUGGUGAAAUGUGGGCCACAGGUGGCGUGGGACUGGUGGCAGAGAGGACCGAGGACAUGACCGGAGGUGAGGCUGGACGAGAGGACGGUCGAGAUCUGCGAGGCCUGUGCUGACGCUCUACGGGCGUGCAGGACGAUGCUAUGCAGUGAGACGUGCGGUCGACAGCGGAACGGAAACCAGGAAAGGGAAAGACGGUCCGACAGCGAGGGAUAGUCCCGCGCCACCCCCACCACGGAGCGAGAGGGACCGGAAUGGCAGGACAGUAACAUGGCCACAAGUGGAAGGAACACGGAGGAGGAGGCCGUAACACGGAGCACAAACGGACUGACUGGGAAGGAAGUGCAGCGAACGAGUGGGGGUGCAGAUCGGGACACAUCGACAGAGGCCGAAGCAGCAGGAGGGAUGCAGCCCCCUGAAUAACGGAUUCAACGCCUGGUGCCUCCAGUGUGGGUAUCGCAACGCAGAGUUAGGGGAAGAGAAGCCCAGCCUAGCCCCCCGACGGAAUCGGCCGCCCCUCUCGUGGGCUGCGUAUGGGACGGACUAUGACGCAUGGACGUGGACAUUGUGGCGGAAGCUCGGACUGACAUCGGACUAGGUUUUAUUUACCUUUUUAAAUCCAGAGAACUGCUUUUAUCUUUUCUUUUAGCCAGUGUUUUAAAUAAAGUGUUAAUUUAAGUAUUUACUUUGGUUUCUGGUCCAUUACUAUCAGUGGAAACAUUUGCUGGUAUUUUAGUUUAAAAUAGGGAGCUACACUUGGACAAAUACACCUGUGCUUUUCCUACUAUGACAUGUCAACAUGUCUGCUGUGAAAAAGGUCUAUUGGACUGAUCUGUUGUUUUGGGAGUCGGGGACACUGGGAGUCCCUGUUAGAUACUGGGGAUUUAAGGUCAAGGGACUCAGAUUUGAUCGAUGGCCAUGUGAAGUUCUGUAUUGUGUGUCCCUGUCCGCUUUGGACCUGAACUGGGUUGGUUUGGGAAAAUUAAAAGGGAAGUGACACACUGUUUUCGCUAACUUUUGUUCACAAUGGAUGUAUUGUAUGCCACGUGGGAUCAAAAUUUAAAUGCAAAAGCAAAACCAAAGCAUCCACAUUGUUGAGCGGCCUGUGCAGCCAAGAAGGGCAGCGUCGCUAGCAGCAGAAUGUCUGCAACACUCAGGUGGAGGACCAAGGUGCCUGAUAUAGGACACAGGACCGCCAGGAGUAGUCCAUUUCCCUGCAAAACCUAUGACCAGCUCCACGGAGUACAGAACAGCUUUACUGGCUCCUGACUCUAAGUCCUCUUCAUACUCAUAGUCCUCAUCAUAGGUGGAGUUCUGGCAAAAUAAUCCAUUGAGUUCCACAUCCAUGUUCAUGUACUGAGGAGGCAAAAAGGUUUAACUCAAAAGAGAGAAAUCCAAAAUGAAGUCCAGAUGUGACAAAUACCAUCUUAUAAUCUCUCUCGUCUCCUCUAAACUAACACACAACUCACACGGUGCAAUGUCACCAGAUUAGGUAACAGACUGGGGUUAAGCGGUGAAGCAGUUUCCCUUGAUCAAACACACACACACACACACAUACACACACACAAUCUAUGAAGCUAUUUUAUUCAUAGUGCCUGUGGGCUGUCAUCACGUUUUACUGUUGAUAGAGAUCCAUAAGUGCUGGUAGGACAAGAUGUGUGCGCAGAUAAACAUGAAAUAUUGCUACAGAAAAAAAGAAAACAGAAAGGGGGAGGCUUACAGGCACAUACAGAAUAUACAUGAAAUAAUAGGAUACAAUAUACAUUAAAUAAUAAUAGGAUAGAAUACAAGAACAAAUAUUUAAAAUAUAUACAAGUUGGGAAUAAAAAUGUACAACUGCCUAACUAGUAAUGAUAAAGAUGUAGAUAAACCUAUUGUUCAAGGUGCACUUAGUGCAGCUGUGAUGUCAUUGAGUCAGUGGUGAGAUGUUAGAAAGUUGUAUUUUAAGGUAGAAAGGAUUUCCUGUAGUAGUCUGUGAAUUGAUGAGUGCAUCCCUUUUUUUUCACACACUUGACAUUAGAAAGAAGAAGUCUUAAUUUCAGGAACCGAAAUCUUGCAAACAUAAUUAUAUUACUGCAAACUAAGUAACUAUGGUAGGAAACAGUGGUGUAGUGGUCCCUGGAGAAGUGGGUAUACUCUCAGUUUUCACGUUUUUUUUUUUUUAAAGUAGUCCAGAAAAAAGCCCUGUUUUAGAAACAGUGACAUGUAAGACUAUGAUUUAGUUUACCCAAAAAUCUGUCAUUUCUACUUGCUCACUAUUAUAAAAUGAUCAUGACUUGAUUAGGAGCAGUUUGUAGUUACUACUGGUCACACAAGCAGCCUGGAUGAAUGUAAAAUGUAUUUAUCAUGAGGCAAACAUGGUGUUUCGAUUAUUUUUUGCACAUUUAUUUAAAUAAAAUACUUCAAAUCUGAA